UUGGAACUGUACGUAUUUUCUUAUCUAUCAUUAAGAAGUAAUUGCAGAAAUAAACUACAUACUAUACUAUACUGUUGAUAUCUUCCUUAUGCAAUCAUUGUAUGAUUACUGUUUCUAUUUGGAACCACUUGUAUUGUACUGUUUGUGACGUCUAGGACGUAUAGGGGAGACUCUAUCCGUUCAGCGGUCUGUCGGCGUAUCCGAAUCCGACCAAAUAGGUAGGUCUCGAGACGUGACAUAUACUAUAG
rnacentral:lncRNA from 1 species